rnacentral:rRNA from 1 species
UUCGGCUAGGGGGCCAUCCCGGCUUACCAACCCGAUGCAAACUGCGAAUACCGGAGAAUGUUAUCACGGGAGACACACGGCGGGUGCUAACGUCCGUCGUGAAGAGGGAAACAACCCAGACCGCCAGCUAAGGUCCCAAAGUCAUGGUUAAGUGGGAAACGAUGUGGGAAGGCCCAGACAGCCAGGAUGUUGGCUUAGAAGCAGCCAUCAUUUAAAGAAAGCGUAAUAGCUCACUGGUCGAGUCGGCCUGCGCGGAAGAUGUAACGGGGCUAAACCAUGCACCGAAGCUGCGGCAGCGACRCUKAUGYGUUGUUGGGUAGGGGAGCGUUCUGUAAGCCUGUGAAGGUGGCCUGUGAGGGUUGCUGGAGGUAUCAGAAGUGCGAAUGCUGACAUAAGUAACGAUAAAGCGGGUGAAAAGCCCGCUCGCCGGAAGACCAAGGGUUCCUGUCCAACGUUAAUCGGGGCAGGGUGAGUCGACCCCUAAGGCGAGGCCGAAAGGCGUAGUCGAUGGGAAACGGGUUAAUAUUCCCGUACUUGGUGUUACUGCGAAGGGGGGACGGAGAAGGCUAUGUUGGCCGGGCGACGGUUGUCCCGGUUUAAGCGUGUAGGCUGGUUUUCCAGGCAAAUCCGGAAAAUCAAGGCUGAGGCGUGAUGACGAGGCACUACGGUGCUGAAGCAACAAAUGCCCUGCUUCCAGGAAAAGCCUCUAAGCAUCAGGUAACAUCAAAUCGUACCCCAAACCGACACAGGUGGUCAGGUAGAGAAUACCAAGGCGCUUGAGAGAACUCGGGUGAAGGAACUAGGCAAAAUGGUGCCGUAACUUCGGGAGAAGGCACGCUGACAUGUAGGUGAAGUGAUUUACUCACGGAGCUGAAGUCAGUCGAAGAUACCAGCUGGCUGCAACUGUUUAUUAAAAACACAGCACUGUGCAAACACGAAAGUGGACGUAUACGGUGUGACGCCUGCCCGGUGCCGGAAGGUUAAUUGAUGGGGUCAGCGCAAGCGAAGCUCCUGAUCGAAGCCCCGGUAAACGGCGGCCGUAACUAUAACGGUCCUAAGGUAGCGAAAUUCCUUGUCGGGUAAGUUCCGACCUGCACGAAUGGCGUAAUGAUGGCCAGGCUGUCUCCACCCGAGACUCAGUGAAAUUGAACUCGCUGUGAAGAUGCAGUGUACCCGCGGCAAGACGGAAAGACCCCGUGAACCUUUACUAUAGCUUGACACUGAACAUUGAGCCUUGAUGUGUAGGAUAGGUGGGAGGCUUUGAAGUGUGGACGCCAGUCUGCAUGGAGCCGACCUUGAAAUACCACCCUUUAAUGUUUGAUGUUCUAACGUGGACCCGUKAYCCGGGUUGCGGACAGUGUCUGGUGGGUAGUUUGACUGGGGCGGUCUCCUCCUAAAGAGUAACGGAGGAGCACGAAGGUUGGCUAAUCCUGGUCGGACAUCAGGAGGUUAGUGCAAUGGCAUAAGCCAGCUUGACUGCGAGCGUGACGGCGCGAGCAGGUGCGAAAGCAGGUCAUAGUGAUCCGGUGGUUCUGAAUGGAAGGGCCAUCGCUCAACGGAUAAAAGGUACUCCGGGGAUAACAGGCUGAUACCGCCCAAGAGUUCAUAUCGACGGCGGUGUUUGGCACCUCGAUGUCGGCUCAUCACAUCCUGGGGCUGAAGUAGGUCCCAAGGGUAUGGCUGUUCGCCAUUUAAAGUGGUACGCGAGCUGGGUUUAGAACGUCGUGAGACAGUUCGGUCCCUAUCUGCCGUGGGCGCUGGAGAACUGAGGGGGGCUGCUCCUAGUACGAGAGGACCGGAGUGGACGCAUCACUGGUGUUCGGGUUGUCAUGCCAAUGGCACUGCCCGGUAGCUAAAUGCGGAAGAGAUAAGUGCUGAAAGCAUCUAAGCACGAAACUUGCCCCGAGAUGAGUUCUCCCUGAGACUUAGAGUCUCCUGAAGGAACGUUGAAGACGACGACGUUGAUAGGCCGGGUGUGUAAGCGCAGCGAUGCGUUGAGCUAACCGGUACUAAUGAACCGUGAGGCUUAACCUU